ensembl:lncRNA
UUUUUUUUUUUUUUUUUUUUUUUUAAUGACUGCAUGUGCAGCAUAUGGAAGUUCCCUCAAACACCAGAUCCUUUAACCCACUGCACCAAGCAAGGCCAGGUAAUGGACCCAUACCUCCACAAUGAUGCAAGUUGCUGCAGUGGGAUUCUUAAUCCAGACGAGAUUUUUGAAAAGAAUGCAGCUAAAUGUUAUUUCUCAAAAGUAACAGAAAGCCAUAAAAGUUAGAAGUAAAAGAUGAUGAAAGUUAUAGGAGACAAAUAAUAACGAAAAGAAAGCUGGUGUGUACAUAUAUUAAUAUUAUGUAAAAUAGACUUUUCGGCAAAAGGAAUAAAGGAAGUCAAGAAUAGAUGACAAAAGGAAAAAAAUUACCAGGAAGACAUAACAAUUAUAAAUUGUCCCAGUAAUACAGCCUCCAGAUAAAGCAAAAAUUUACAGAAUAGCAAGAAUUUGAUCAAUUCACAAUCACAGGUGGAGAUUUAAACACUCAUAUUUCCAUAAUUAUCAAGCAGUCUAAAAAUUUAGAAAGGUCAUUUAUGAUUUGCAUGGCAUCAUUAAUAACUUGAUUUAGUAAAUAUGUAAAGAAUUUUGCCCCAACAAUUAAGGAACAUGCUUCCCUUCCUAGCUCACAUGGAAUAUUUAUACAAAUUUACCAUGUAUUAAGCCACAAAACAAAUACCAAAAAAAUCAAUAUCUAACUGACCAUGUUCUCUGAUCAUAAUCAAAUAACAUUAAAAAUUAAUAACAGGGAGUUCCCAUUGUGGUUCAGUGGAAACAAUCCGACUAGCAAACAUGGGGAUGCAGGUUCAAUCCAUGGCCUUGCUCAUGGGUUAACAAUCCGGCAUUGCCAUGAGCUGUGGUGUAGGUUGCAGACAUGGCUCGGAUCCUGCGUUGCUGUGGCUCUGGUAGGCCUACAGCAACAGCUUUGCUUAGACCCCCCUAGCCUGGGAACCUCCAUAUGCGGGGGGGGGGGGGGGGGGGGGGGUGUAAAAAGGAUAAAAGAAAAAAAAAAAGAAAAAAAAACUUGUGUAAAGCAACCAAAGCAUCUAAUAAAUAUUAGAGCAGAAAUGAAGGAAUUUGCAAUAAUUAAAAAGUAGAGAAUAAAGAAAAAUAUCUCUAAGUAAAACUAAGAAGUCAUAAAAAAAUAACCUAAUAAGAAAAGGAACAUAUGUACAGAUAAAUAAGAGAUUUAUGCCGAAAUUUGGAAACAUAAAUAAAAUGGAAUUUUUAUUUUGCAAAUAAAAAUCUAUCAAAGCUAAUGUAAGAAGAAAUAGAAAACUAAGAUCUUAACAUUAAAAAAAUUUCUAUCGGUUGUGAAAAAUCUAUCCAUAAAAUAAACAAACAAAAAUACCAGGCUCAACCCUGCUGUAUAGCACUGGGAACUAUAUCUAGUCACUUAUGAUGGAACAUGACAAUGUGAGAAAAAAAAAAUGUAUAUAUGUAUGUGUGACUGGGUCACCUUGCCAUACAGUGGAAAAUUGACAGAACACUGUAAACAGGCUAUAAUGGAAAAAAAUUAAAAAUCAUUUAAAAAAAAAGAAAAAAAAAAAAAA